UGUCCCUGCCUCUCCCUCCACUCUCCUCUACACCCCCAGGGCUGCAUGGCUUUGGGAAGAGAAUGGUAGAAAGAAGUCAGUGCAGGUAGAACAGCUGUGGGAGCAGCUGAGACAGAUGCCAGAGUGUUUUGCUCAGUUUUCACCAGCCACACUCUGUCUUUCACAGCUCUGUGCUCCAAAACCCGUCUCCCCCCCGGCUCACAUCUCUUCAUCUCAGCUUCAGCCAUAUGGGACCCCAUCUCCUGUUGCCUUCUCGCUGCUCUCCUGCCUGGAAACAACCUCCCCUUUCCUCCAUCUUCUCCUCUUCCUUCCUGACACAGGCUUGUUCCCCACAGCCUGCCCUGCCUGUUUUGGGCACGACCUCUCCAUUGCUCAGUGUAUACGCCCAGCCUGGCAUGCAGGGGUUCCUUCUCAGGCACCGCUGUAGUAACAACCGCAGAACUGCAUUGUGCUCGUGUCUUUACUAGCUUAUACAGGAAUAUACAGUGGUGUUUUACAAGGCUAUAAAAAUACAUCUUAAAGGAAGCGAGCACAGGAAAACAGGAGGAGUGGGGCCAGAUCAGCUGAUGUAAAUAAAGGCUGCAUUGAAUUAAAUAGCGCUGCGACUAUUUACAGCAGCUGCAGGACCUGGCCUGUGGCCUCCUCUUAAAGCAGGGAGGUGCUGCAACAUCCCCUUUCUGUUCUGGUAGAUGCUGGCCCAAGCUCCCCUUGCCCUUGUAGCAAAGAGGGAUGCUGGCAGGGAUGAGGAAUGGGAAGCACAGCCGUACUGCACCUGCAGAGGGUGAUGCUUACAGCCAGGGUGCUGCAUGGUGCCCAGCAGUGAGGACCGGCUCAUUUCCUUCUGCCUGUCCCCACAAUAGACUGGCUGUCACCUGGGGAUAAUUCCCCAUGGCUGGAUCUGGGCAGGAGUUGCAGUAUUCACCAAACCAUGCCAUGUCGAGGCUCCAAAAACUACUUGGCAAGGUAAGGUCAAAUCCAGCACAAGGGGUGGACUUCUAGGUGGCACAAAGAUGACAAGAAGAAAGGAAAGGAAGUCAUUUGGGAAAGGUCAAACAUCACAUUUUGACAUUUUCUGUUCUGAGAACAACUGAAUUUGUUUCAGUUUAACCUGAAACAAGUGUUAAACUUUCUAUUCAGCCCCUGAAAUGAUAGACUUGUGCCGUGGUAGUGCUUUGUGGAUUACAGACCUGCUCCCUGGGGUGUACAGCAAAGCUCAUUUCAUCUUUCCUGGAUCAAAUUUUUGUAAGAACAAAAAUUCCAAUAGCGAUCCUUCAGGAGAGAUGGUUUCCCAGUGAGGCUUCAGGAUAAUGUGAACUUCCAUCUCUGGCAAGCUGCUGUACUGAGCACUCACAGAAUCCAGAUUUUUCAGGGAUAAAGGAAGUUUUCUCUGUGGGAGUGAAGUUCCAUCAACAAUCAGAAGAGACUAUGGAUAGGAAAUGUUACCUUUACACUCAACCAGACUGCCUCAGUUGUCUUGUUUGAGUUGACUACAGAUUUCCUUAUGUUCAAAGCAUAGCAUUUUAACUUCUGUUAUAAAUUACAAAAAUUAAAAUAUAUAUAUAUUCAGUUUUGAAUUUUUAAAAUAAAAUAGAUUUCAACCAAUGGCAUCACUUGGGGUGUGUGUGGUUUUUUCUUAUAUUGUUGAAAUAAAAUGCUCAGAGAACUUCAA